rnacentral:lncRNA from 1 species
UUAUAAAAAAUGUAAAGCAUAAAAUUCUCUACAUUUUAUGUUCUAAUAUUUUUUUUCUCAGAUCAAUAGUUUCCGAGAUAGUUUUCAGAGAAAAAUGAAAUAUUCUGACAAAUUGGAAAAAAUACUCCACUUUAUCGCAUUGUAUUUCGGAAACUAUUGAUCUGAGAAAAAAAAAGUUACAACAUAAAAUGUAUGUAGAGAAUUUUAUGCUUUACAUUUUUUAUAAUAACUAUUUUUCACGUAUCUCACACCGGAGAUGAAAUAUUUGUAAAACAGUGAUUUUUUGCUCCAUUUUUUCAAUAUGGCAGCGCGAGCGGCAAUGUUUCAAAAACUCAAAGUAUUAAUUAGUAUGCUAAACCUAAAAACUAUGCCAAGUAUAAAAUUUCCUUGACCUUUUGUAAGGUAAAACUGCCUAUUGUCUGAACUAAAGAUUCCUGCGCGCGGGUUGAUGCGCGGAUCGAUGCGCAAGGACAAUGCGCAGAUCCUAAUCGAUGUCUACGGUGUCCCAGCUCGCUCACGCCGUCUCACUGUUUAGCGAGACGACAUCGGGAGCGGUCACCGACGACGUCGCAUAGACUGUAAGACCGGGGACUUCGUUCUGGGGAGCCGCUGAAAUAAGACGUGGUCACAAGUUAAUCAAGUGAAAUUGUAUUAAACAACAGUAAAUUUACAAGAUUCGACUCCUCGUCUCUUGUUAGUGAUCAAACGGAAUGGAGAUGGCAGUGGUGGAAUAACGCCACGUAUCACGUGAAAUUGUUGCCCUGGAAUUACCAUGAGGUUCGGAUUACUGGUUGCGGGCUUUUAGUCGGCCAUUUUGGGAGAUUGUUACUUUGCUCAAUUUUUCCACGCACAUGUGCGACCUUACACUGGAAGGAGAUAGUAAAUCAGGAUUCUAUUGCUAAUUUCUAUCAACCAAAGCUACAGUCUAAGAAGCCUAUUAACUCAAACAGCCCUCUGACUGAAAAGGUGAGCGUGGAUGGUCCUCCCCUGAGAGCGGAAGGAAGAGUCAGUGAAUUGAAUGAGGAUCCCGGUUUGGGAGGUAUCUGCUGGUCUCUGGAUGAGUGAGAGUAUUGACGAAAGGAAAUAGAUUUCUUUUGAAAGAAGAGCGCAGUCAUUCCUCCACGUCUGUUGCUCUAUAUAAGCGUUGAAUCGUGGUACUGUGUCCCUGUUAAGACGGACAUCCAGUGGACAAAAGAAGAAGAAAAAGAAUUGUAAGGCCACCACUUCGACCACGCGGUAAGGACGGAGGCGGCCGGCCCUGCAUUUUGUGAGAGAUUAUAGAAUAAUUACCCUACUGAGCGUUCGGUGGGAGAGCGAAGAGCAGUCGCGGAUAAAAUUGCCGAGGUUAGAGUCACCGUACAGCGGGGCCGUGUCGAUCUCCGUCUUCUAGAUUUAAUAUUUUCGUCUACCGUUUCCUCCCUCGGGGAAAGUGUCGCGAGCUGCGACGCGACGAUGCGUGCAGGGUUCGUCGAAGAAUUUUGACAUACUAUGCCGAAUAUCUAUCCUGAACGCUGUAGAAUCAGACGUAUUAUAUUGUUUGAUACCGAGUCAUAGACUUUGAUAAAGCGUAUGAAUUUCUUUAUAUCGCGAAUAUUAUACCGAAUCAUGGAACAGUCACAUGAGAGAAUAGUGUUCGGCGGCUGUCAUGUAUUCUUUGUUUUCACCUGUUAAUUCUAGACUGUUAAUAUAUUAUUCUUAUAUUCAUUAAA